GACGAACGCUGGCGGCGCGCUUAACACAUGCAAGUCGGGCGAUGAAACUUUAACAGAACCCUUCGGGGCGAAGAGACAGUGGAUUAGCGGCGGACGGGUUAGUAACACGUGAGUAACCUGCCUUAGACAUUGGGCUAGCCUCGGGAAACCGGGAUUAAUACAAAAUAAAAUCAUAAUGACACAUGUCAUAACGAUCAAAACUCCUGUGGUCUAAGAUGGACUCGCGUCCCAUUAGCUAGUUGGUAGGGUAAAAGCCUACCAAGGCGACGAUGGGUAGCCGGCAUGAGAGGGUGAACGGCCACAUUGGAACUGAGAAACGGUCCAAACUCCUACGGGAUGCAGCAGUGGGGAAUAUUGCACAAUGGAGGGAACUCUGAUGCAGCGACGCCGCUUGAACGAAGAAGGCUUUCGAGUCGUAAAGUUCUUUUAUAUGGGAAGAUCAUGACGGUACCAUAAGAAAAAGCCCCGGCUAACUACGUG
rnacentral:rRNA from 1 species